rnacentral:tRNA from 1 species
GCGCCCGUAGCUCAGUUGGAUAGAGCAACGGAUUUCUAAUCCGUCGGUCAGGGGUUCGAAUCCCUUCGGGCGUA